UCCAGACUCCUACGGGAGGCAGCAGUGGGGAAUAUUGCACAAUGGGGGAAACCCUGAUGCAGCGACGCCGCGUGAGUGAGGAAGUAUUUCGGUAUGUAAAGCUCUAUCAGCAGGGAAGAAAAUGACGGUACCUGACUAAGAAGCCCCGGCUAACUACGUGCCAGCAGCCGCGGUAAUACGUAGGGGGCAAGCGUUAUCCGGAUUUACUGGGUGUAAAGGGAGCGUAGACGGCUAGUCAAGUCAGAAGUGGAAGCCCAGGGCUCAACCUUGGGACUGCUUUUGAAACUGAGUAGCUAGAGUGCAGGAGAGGUAAGCGGAAUUCCUAGGGUAGCGGUGAAAUGCGUAGAUAUUAGGAGGAACACCAGUGGCGAAGGCGGCCUGCUGGGCUUUUACUGACGCUGAGGCUCGAAAGUGUGGGGAGCAAACAGGAUUAGAUACCCGAGUA
rnacentral:rRNA from 1 species